UACGUAGGGCGCAAGCGUUGUCCGGAAUUAUUGGGCGUAAAGAGCUCGUAGGCGGCCUGUUGCGUCCGCUGUGAAAUCCCGGGGCUUAACCCCGGGCUUGCAGUGGAUACGGGCAGGCGUGGAGGCAGGCAGGGGAGAACGGAAUUCCCGGUCGUAGCGGUGAAAUGCGCAGAUAUCGGGAGGAACGACCGGUGGCGAAGGCGGUUCUCUGGGCCUGUACUGACGCUGAGGAGCGAAAGCGUGGGGAGCGAACAGG
rnacentral:rRNA from 1 species